rnacentral:rRNA from 1 species
UACGAAAGGGACGAGCGUUAUUCGGUCAAAUUGGGCGUAAAGCAUUCUUAAGCAGUUUUUUUGAACGUUAAAUUUUAAAUGUCAGAGCAAAACUUUGGAAUAUUUUUUUAAAAACCAAAUUUUCUGGAGUAGUUUACGGGUUAGUAGUAUUUUCUUAAAUAAGGCUCAUAUCUGCUAAUAAAAAGAUAGAGGACCAGGGGCAAAAGCAACUAACCAGUUUCUUACUGACGCUGAAGAAUUAAAGUAUGGGGAGCAAACAGG